GAUGAACGCUGGCGGCGUGCCUAAUACAUGCAAGUCGAACGAGUUCUGAUUAUUGAAAGGUGCUUGCAUCUUGAUUUAAUUUUGAACGAGUGGCGGACGGGUGAGUAACACGUGGGUAACCUGCCCUUAAGUGGGGGAUAACAUUUGGAAACAGAUGCUAAUACCGCAUAAAUCCAAAAACCGCAUGGUUCUUGGCUGAAAGAUGGCGUAAGCUAUCGCUUUUGGAUGGACCCGCGGCGUAUUAGCUAGUUGGUGAGGUAACGGCUCACCAAGGCAAUGAUACGUAGCCGAACUGAGAGGUUGAUCGGCCACAUUGGGACUGAGACACGGCCCAAACUCCUACGGGAGGCAGCAGUAGGGAAUCUUCCACAAUGGACGCAAGUCUGAUGGAGCAACGCCGCGUGAGUGAAGAAGGCUUUCGGGUCGUAAAACUCUGUUGUUGGAGAAGAAGGUCGGCAGAGUAACUGU
rnacentral:rRNA from 2 species